rnacentral:rRNA from 1 species
AUUGAACGCUGGCGGCAUGCCUUACACAUGCAAGUCGAACGGUAACGGGCCUUCGGGUGCCGACGAGUGGCGAACGGGUGAGUAAUACAUCGGAACGUGCCCGAUCGUGGGGGAUAACGAGGCGAAAGCUUUGCUAAUACCGCAUACGAUCUACGGAUGAAAGCAGGGGACCGCAAGGCCUUGCGCGGACGGAGCGGCCGAUGGCAGAUUAGGUAGUUGGUGGGAUAAAAGCUUACCAAGCCGACGAUCUGUAGCUGGUCUGAGAGGAUGAUCAGCCACACUGGGACUGAGGCACGGCCCAGACUCCUACGGGAGGCAGCAGUGGGGAAUUUUGGACAAUGGGCGCAGGCCUGAUCCAGCCAUGCCGCGUGCAGGAUGAAGGCCUUCGGGCUGUAAACUGCUUUUGUACGGAACGAAAAGCCUUCUUUUAAUACAGGAGGGUCAUGACGGUACCGUAAGAAUAAGCACCGGCUAACUACGUG